GAUUACCACGGUAGGAUUCAUGACUGGGGUGAAGUCGUAACAAGGUAGCCGUAUCGGAAGGUGCGGCUGGAUCACCUCCUUUCAGAGCU
rnacentral:rRNA from 1 species